ACUAUUUGAAAUUCUACAGAUGGAGACUCUCAAAGGGUACUUUUCCCUUUAACUUUCUCUCUUUGUUUCUAAUUUUGUUUUUUAGUAGUUUUAAUUGUUCAGGGUUUGACUCAAACCGUUUGAGAGCUUGGUGUUUACUUGCAACCACAUUCUUGGAUUCUCUAACACAAGGUUGUAAGGCUGAAUAUCGUGUGAAUCAGAUAAGGAAUAACUAUUUUAACUUAUCUUGAAUCAAUAUACAAUUAUAUUAAUCGAAAUAAGCUAGAGAAAGGUUUAUUUGUCUGUGGUAUAAGCAGUGGCAUAAGUUGCUGGAAGAACUUGCACGAUAGAGUAAAACAAGAAUAUCAACUAGCCACGAACUCCUACUUCUUAAAGCACCGCAAUCCGUAGCUGUGAAAAAAUGUGAGAGAUCAAGUUCUAGAGAAAAACCAAAAGCUAAGCAAGAUUCAGAUUUGUGGAAGUAAAGCUUUUGCAUGAUAAUUCAAUAAAAUCAUAUUCAGAUCUAUCGCAAUGGAGCAUUAAAAUGGUCGUGCGUCAUAUUUGCCCAUUCGAGUCCAAAGUCAAGAUCUAUUUAGAGCAAUCAAAAUACACAUUUUGAAAAGAAGUCUUCUUUCAUCCUUGCACGGUGAAGAACAAAGACUCUGCUUCCCUUUCCAGGAUUCUUAUUCGUUUGGUUGUUGAAAGAUACCAAGAACUCUCAUCAAAACUAGAGUACAAUUUUCCAUUGAAGUAGCAAGAGUAGAUCUAUGGAGGUGCUUUCCAGGAUUUUGAAGUAACGUGAAGCUGAAUAUUGAAAAUAUGCAAAGACAAAAAGGCUCGAGCGGGAAUCAGGGAGGUUCACUUCCAUUGACUUACAUCGACAGCAGAAGGCAGUAGUCAAGGUGCUCUCCUGAUUAGGUGGUGCUAGAGAAAACGAAGGAAAGCCUAGGUGCAUGGUGCAACAUAUGGUAAUUUGUUGGAUUGUUGCCCCCAAGACAUGAAAGUACUGAAACCAUUGGAAGGGCUUUGACUCUCGGUGUUAACAUCAAGAUGAUCACUGGCCAGAUAACCAGUUGUAAACUUGGAAUGGGAAUAAACAUGUAUCCAUCUUCGGCUUUUCUUGGUACGCACAAGUGGUAGGAACCAACAAACCCCAUGGAUGAAUAUGUCUCUCAAGUCUCAAUGGUUGUAAGUUUUGUCACGUAAGAGACAUGGAGAACAUACCUGGCAGAGAAUCAAGUGAAUUCCUCCAAAGAACUGAUCAGAUUAGAAAGAGCUAGUGUCUUGCGGCUGAAUAGAAUGGGAGAUAUGUAAAGGAAGGAACAAAUACUUUUGACAAACUAUUUAGGCCAUCGUCAAAGAUUUUGCAACAUACACAUCCAUUAAUUAGUAUUCAGUAGACAGUGGAAAGAAGUGUCUAAAGGAAACUUGAACCCAGAUGUCUGCAUAGAGGUAAAUCCACAUAAGAUCUCACACCCUCGGCCAAGUUCACAUCACACAUUAGAAUUAUAGAACCUUGACGUGUCUUUAUUCGGUGGAGCAUGGAAUUCUUCUCAUUGUAGAUCGCUGCUUGACAUUGUUUGACAAUCCACUGGUCGACUCUCUUCACACAACUUACAAUGAGCUCAAGUUACAGAAAGAAUGCAAGAACCAGACUUAAAAAUGGGUGUGUUCGGCAUUCUAAAUCAAUGUCACAAAGGAGACAAGCGGUAAGAACCACCAAACCCCAUUGACGAAGAUGGUCUCCUGGAAGAUUUGGCACGUAAGAGACGUAGAGAACAUACUUGUUGGAGCAUCAAAUGAUUUCCUCCAAAGAAAUUGAUUAGAUUGGGAAGACUAGUGUCUCGCGGCUGAAUAGGUAAGCAUGCUUGGAGCAUAACGGCUAGCGGCAAUGUCCAACUGCCAUUAGGAACAACCUGAAAAUCUACAUCGACCUCUUUGAUAGCGUGAUAUAGUCAUGUGUGCAUGCAUACAUUCAUAUGUGCAUACAUUCAUACAUCCAUACAUUCAUGCAUACAUUCAUACAUUCAUACAUUCAUACAUUCAUACAUCCAUACAUGCAUGCAUACAUUCAUACAUGCAUACAUUCAUACAUUCAUACAUCCAUACAUGCAUACAUUCAUAUAUACAUGCAUGCUUACAUUCAUGCAUGAAUCUAUGCAUAUUUGCUUUCUUGAUUUAUUGAUUGCUUAUUUACUUAUUUGAUUUCUUAACUAGCUUGCUUGUUUUUUUUUUCUCUCUGUUUACUUACAUUUAUAACUUGUUUACUUCUUGUUUGUUUCUUUGAUUAUUUGAUCGUUACUCACUCCAUAUUGCUUCAUUUCAUUUCUUAAUCUGUGUGUUUACUUCCUUCUUAUUCCCUUCAUUGUUUGCUCAGACCGUACAUGCAAUUCACUUGUUUACUUAUCGUCAAUUUCUUGAUUUCUUUGAUUAUUUGGCAGUCGCUUAUUCAACUGAUUCAUUCAUGGCUUAGCUCUUUCACAUGUUUCCUCUUUGAUUCUUUGUAUCUUUACUUCUGUAGUUGUUUUCUUACAUGCUUACUUUACUUGUUUUAUUGUUUCUUUCAUUUUUUUGUUUACUCACAUCAUUGUUUAUUUAUUUAUUUGCUUCUAUUUAGUUAUAUACUUCUUUCAUUGUGUAUAAAUUUUUUGAAUUUAUACAAAUGUACUCAUAUAAUUUUGACAACAAUAUGAAAAAUCGAAACACUAAUAAAUAUC
rnacentral:sRNA from 1 species